CCUACGGGCGGCAGCAGUGGGGAAUAUUGGACAAUGGGGGGAACCCUGAUCCAGCCAUGCCGCGUGUGUGAAGAAGGCCCUCGGGUUGUAAAGCACUUUCAGUGAGGAAGAACGCCUGGUGGUUAAUACCCAUCAGGAAAGACAUCACUCACAGAAGAAGCACCGGCUAACUCCGUGCCAGCAGCCGCGGUAAUACGGAGGGUGCGAGCGUUAAUCGGAAUUACUGGGCGUAAAGCGCGCGUAGGUGGCUUGAUAAGCCGGUUGUGAAAGCCCCGGGCUCAACCUGGGAACGGCAUCCGGAACUGGCAAGCUAGAGUGCAGGAGAGGAAGGUAGAAUUCCCGGUGUAGCGGUGAAAUGCGUAGAGAUCGGGAGGAAUACCAGUGGCGAAGGCGGCCUUCUGGACUGACACUGACACUGAGGUGCGAAAGCGUGGGUAGCAAACAGGAUUAGAUACCCGAGUAGUC
rnacentral:rRNA from 1 species